GAUGAAGAACGUAGCGAAAUGCGAUAAGUAAUGUGAAUUGCAGAAUUCAGUGAAUCAUCGAAUCUUUGAACGCACAUUGCGCCCGCCAGCAUUCUGGCGGGCGUGCCUGUUCGAGCGUCAUUUCAACCCUCGAGCCCCCCCGGGGGCCUCGGUGUUGGGGGACGGCACACCAGCCGCCCCCGAAAUGCAGUGGCGACCUCGCCGCAGCCUCCCCUGCGUAGUAGCACACACCUCGCACCGGAGCGCGGAGACGGUCACGCCGUAAAACGCCCAACUUCUUAGAGUUGACCUCGGAUCAGGUAGGAAUACCCGCUGAACUUAAGCAUAUCAAUAAGCGGAGGA
rnacentral:misc_RNA from 1 species